GUCCACGCCGUAAACGAUGAGAACUAGAUGUCGGGAGGAUCUGCCUUUCGGUGUCGCAGCUAACGCAUUAAGUUCUCCGCCUGGGGAGUACGCCGGCAACGGUAAAACUCAAAGGAAUUGACGGGGACCCGCACAAGCGGUGGAGCAUGUGGUUUAAUUCGAUGCAACGCGAAGAACCUUACCUGCCCUUGACAUUGACAGAACCCUCUGGAGACAGAGGGGUGCUUCGGCCUGGAAAACAGGUGCUGCAUGGCU
rnacentral:rRNA from 1 species